rnacentral:tRNA from 1 species
ACUAACUUAGCAUAUUAAUUAAUGCGGUAGAUUGUAAAUCUGUUUAAAACAUAUUUGUUAGUU